rnacentral:misc_RNA from 1 species
UCGAGUUUACAACUCCCAAACCCUAUGUGAACAUACCUAUCGUUGCUUCGGCGGACUCGCCCCGGCGUCCGGACGGCCUCGCGCCGCCCGCGGCCCGGACCCAGGCGGCCGCCGGAGACCCUCAAACUCUGUAUUAUCAGCAUCUUCUGAAUACGCCGCAAGGCAAAACAAAUGAAUCA